ensembl:lncRNA
GGAAUUUUUGUGGGACCUAUUGGGAAACACUUCCCCUAGAGUGUUGGCUGGAGUUGUUAAGUGGAGCUGCUGGGGCCACCUUCACUCCAAGGCGGGGAGAAGCCUGCCUGAGAAUGAAGCUGAGACAGGAGAGAGUUGAAAGAUGGAACUUGGAAGUUUCACAGCUGAGCACAAGGAAAUAGAGGCUAACAUAGACCUGAUUUGGACUUUGGAAGCAGGCUUUUCUAGAAUCCUCAGAGCUCCAGCACUUCAGAGCUGUGUGACCUCAAUUAUCCUCCAGCAUGUCUAGACCCCAGAGCUCCAGCUGCUAGACCAUGAAGCUCCAGGAGAGGCAGAAUUGCCCAGCCCCAGCUGCUUUCGGCUUGUCCUCUGAGUUACACUUUGCUCCCUGAAGACUCGCCUCUCCCCCAAACGAGACAGACACUGGAGUUAUCC